rnacentral:rRNA from 1 species
UACGAAGGGGGCUAGCGUUGCUCGGAUUCACUGGGCGUAAAGGGCGCGUAGGCGGUUUGUAAAGUCAGACGUGAAAUUCCUGGGCUCAACCUGGGGGCUGCGUUUGAUACGGGCGGACUUGAGUGCGGAAGAGGGUCGUGGAAUUCCCAGUGUAGAGGUGAAAUUCGUAGAUAUUGGGAAGAACACCGGUGGCGAAGGCGGCGACCUGGUCCGAUACUGACGCUGAGGCGCGAAAGCGUGGGGAGCAAACAGG